AUGGAGCUCCGCGGCGGCUCCAUCGCAGCCCGGGCGGCGCUUCAUCAACUCCGGCGAAGCUUCAAUGGAGCUCCGCGGCGGCUCCAUCGCAGCCCAGGCGGCGCUCCAUUGCAGCUCCCGCGGCGCGAUAAAGCUUCCAGGGCAACACCGACGCGAGCAGCCGAGCCUCCUCCUUGUGUGCUGCGUUGCAUCACCGGCGGCGAGCGGCGCCCGACUCCGGCCUUCGUGCUGCGUUGCAACAGAGCCGCGCGAGCAGCUCAACCUCUCCUCCCGUGUGCUGCGUUGCAGCGCCGGCGAGCGCCGCGUCGAAGCACCGGCAUCGACGAGCGUCGCAUAGCAACACCGGCAGCACCGUCGAGUCGCAGCGCCGGCAGCAAUCAAGUCAACAACGAGGCUGCGUUGCAGCACCGGCUGUUUCGUCAACAAAAAUCACCGCGUCACAACGCUGUGGACCUUGAACAACAGCAGGUGAAGCUUGAGAAGCAGACCAUGGUGGUCGUGCGAAAACGAAGGGGAUCGACUGUUUUUUUAGGAGAUAAGGCUACUGGAAACGGGCUUGUGGUGGAAAAGAGACGAAGGGGAUCGAGCGCGCUCCAGAUGAAAGAUGAAGAGAUAAGGCCGGCAUGUGGGCGAGCCCCUACCAGGACGCGUGGCGCCCGUAGCGGGCGGUUUAAGCCUGAGAAAAAUCAUCCGGUAGAAAACAAAUAUUUUCCUUCUUUUUAA
rnacentral:rRNA from 1 species